rnacentral:rRNA from 1 species
GACGAACGCUGGCGGCGUGCUUAACACAUGCAAGUCGAACGGAGUUUAAGAGGAAGCUUGCGAAUCUUAAACUUAGUGGCGGACGGGUGAGUAACGCGUGGAUAACCUGCCUGAAUGACUGGGACAACACCGGGAAACUGGUGCUAAUACCGGAUACACUCACCAUUGCGCAGGCAAAGGUGAGGAAAGGAGAAAUCCGCAUACAGAUGGGUCCGCGUCCCAUUAGCUAGUUGGCGGUGUAAGAGACCACCAAGGCGACGAUGGGUAGCCGGCCUGAGAGGGUGGACGGCCACACUGGAACUGAGACACGGUCCAGACUCCUACGGGAGGCAGCAGUGGGGAAUCUUCCGCAAUGGGCGAAAGCCUGACGGAGCAACGCCGCGUGAGUGAGGAAGGCCUUCGGGUCGUAAAACUCUGUCUUCAGGGAAGAAAAAAAUGACGGUACCUGAGGAGGAAGCCCCGGCUAACUACGUGCCAGCCGCCGCCGUAAAAC